CCAAUUUCGGCGGCUAUACAUGCAAGUCGGACGGGAUCCAGUGCUGGAAACUUUGGCUACCAUUGUGGUGAGAGUGGCGCACGGUGUGCGUCACGUGUGAACCCCCUAUCUCUAUGGGGGGGAUAGCCUCUCGAAAGAGAUAUUAACACCGCAAAAUAUCCACAGUUCGCGUGUUGUUGUGAUUAUAUAUUUAUAGGAUAGAUAUGGGCUCGUGUGAUUAUCUAUAUGUGGUGGGGUAACGGCUUACCGGGGACAAUAUCUCUAGGGGCUCUGAGAGGAAAAUCCCCCACUGUGGUUGAGACACGGACACCACACUCAUACGGGAGGCAGCUAUAGAGAAUAUUGGUCUGUGGGCGGAACCCUGACCCCCCUGUGCCGCGUGCGAGAACAGUGCCCUAUGGUGUGUACUGUGCUUGUGUCCGAGAAUAAACCUAUACACGUGUAUAUCUGAGAGUGCUGUGGAAAAAUAGAGAUCGGCUAUCUCCGUGCCCGCCCCCGCGGUUAUAGAGAAUAUCAGAGCGUUAUCCAUAUUUUGUGUUUUUAAGGGGUGCAUACGCCGUAUAUUAUCUCGGGUGUGAUAUACUGUGGCUCACCUAUCACAGUGUCUGAGACACUGAUGCGCGAGAAUCUUUUUGAAGUGCGGAAAAUAACACGUGUCGCGGUGAAGUGCAUAUAUGUCUCAUAAAUCUCAUAGCGCAAGGCAGCUCACUAAGCUGGUAUUGACGCUGAUGCACGAAAGCGUGGGGAUCGAACAGGAUUAGAUACCCUGGUAGUCCACGCCCUAAACGAUGAUAACUCGAUGUUGGCGAUAGACAGCCAGCGUCCCAGCGAAAGCGUUAAGUUAUCCACCUGGGGAGUACGCCCGCAAGGGUGAAACUCAAAGGAAUUGACGGGGGCCCGCACAAGCGGAGGAGCAUGUGGUUUAAUUCGAUGAUACGCGAGGAACCUUACCCGGGCUUGAAAGUUAGUGAAGGGUGCAGAGACGCACCCGUCCUUCGGACACGAAACUAGGUGCUGCAUGGCUGUCGUCAGCUCGUGCCGUGAGGUGUUGGGUUAAGUCCCGCAACGAGCGCAACCCCUAUGUUUAGUUGCCAGCAUUUAAGGUGGGGACUCUAAACAGACUGCCUGUGCAAACAGUGAGGAAGGUGGGGACGACGUCAAGUCAUCAUGGCCCUUACGUCCGGGGCUACACACGUGCUACAAUGGAUGGUACAGCGGGCAGCUACAUAGCAAUAUGAUGCUAAUCUCUAAAAGCCAUUCACAGUUCGGAUUGGGGUCUGCAACUCGACCCCAUGAAGUUGGAUUCGCUAGUAAUCGCGUAUCAGCAAUGACGCGGUGAAUACGUUCCCGGGCCUUGUACACACCGCCCGUCAAGCCAUGAAAGUUGGGGGUACCUAAAGCAUGUUACCGCAAGGAGCGUGUCAGGGUAAGCCCGAAAGUC
rnacentral:rRNA from 1 species